AACACAACGAUACACGUAGCUUAAUAGUUCGAUGCUCUUAUUAGCUCGGAGUCCAAUUAAGGCCAGAAUGAUACUCCAUGCAUUCUGCCGCGUACUUCCUAGUGUCGCGCUGGAAUACCAAGCAAGGGAACGCCGACGACGACCGUUGACACCGUAAAAAAUGAAGUUGCACAAGAAGAUGCGGAUCAGUCUCGUUAAGGCUAUCCCGCGAAGGACACUCGAAAAGUACAAUCGUCCUCCAAGAUAACCAAACGUUCCCGAACAUUCUUAGCAGCCUGGUAGUAUACUUUACGGUUCAAUCAUGGGACGAUUUGCGUUCAGGCCAAAGGAAGUUUAUCCCCACCAAAAGGAGUCACUGAUGGAUACUGAAUCAUUGUAUAAUUUAUGAUAUCACUGGUCAUUGGCGAAUGUGGUUCAGUGGUACGUCCGCGAUAACAGUCUGUGACCAUACAGGAAGAUAUUCCAACGAUAUAGAAGUAACGAACGGCAGAUUUUACGCAUUCACAAGCAACCAAAGUGCGUAGAAUAUUAAAAACAGCAAUUUAAGAACAUUUAAUCGAAACCUUAGCUAUAUUUCGAUGUCUUAGUUCAUGAGAGGCGUGUAAACAAAAAAUAAAAGUAAAAUGUAUUCAUCCAAUAGCGACAUAGUCACCUGUUUUCUCAAAAUCGAUAGAAAGAAGGAUUAUACGUAUUAUGAUGUUAGCUGUCUACCUGUUGAGAGGGACCGCGUUGUUGGCUAUUGUAUCUGGCGAGGACCGCCGGGUUCAAACGACGUCUCACUGCCGUCGGUGUUGACAUUUUAACGAUCCUACGGCACCGUUCCCGUUUGCUUUAUUAAUUCCGUUGGUCUCGCUGUCAGGAUCCCAUGCGAUCAUCGAAGCAAACACCGAUUCCGCGGGUUCUUCUAGACGAAUCUGCUGCGCGCGUUUCGAACUACCCAGUGUGUAGCACCGUGUACCGCGUUAACAUUAGAACCACCAGACAGAUCGAAACGAUCAAUCUCAUCCGCAAUCAGAAAACUCGAACUAUAAAGUUCCGUUCACACAACGGUUACAUUAACAAUCUUUUCGCGAAACUGUGUUGAAAUUCAAUGCAUAGUAACCGAGUACCGAUACUUUGCUAUCACGUUGAUAUGUGAAAGCUGAUUAUAACGAUAAAACUUGUAUAGAGAAUUGUACAGAUAAUUGUACAUUAUUACGUAAUUAUAUAAACAACACGGUUCUGUAUACUUAA